CCUACGGGAGGCAGCAGUGAGGAAUAUUGGUCAAUGGACGAGAGUCUGAACCAGCCAAGUAGCGUGAAGGAUGAUUGCCCUAUGGGUUGUAAACUUCUUUUAUCUGGGAAUAAAAUGUUCCACGUGUGGGCUUUUGUAUGUACCAUAUGAAUAAGGAUCGGCUAACUCCGUGCCAGCAGCCGCGGUAAUACGGAGGAUCCGAGCGUUAUCCGGAUUUAUUGGGUUUAAAGGGAGCGUAGGUGGAUUGUUAAGUCAGUUGUGAAAGUUUGCGGCUCAACCGUAAAAUUGCAGUUGAAACUGGCAGUCUUGAGUACAGUAGAGGUGGGCGGAAUUCGUGGUGUAGCGGUGAAAUGCUUAGAUAUCACGAAGAACUCCGAUUGCGAAGGCAGCUCACUGGACUGCAACUGACACUGAGGCUCGAAAGUGUGGGUAUCAAACAGGAUUAGAUACCCUUGUAGUC
rnacentral:rRNA from 1 species